UUAUUUUCUUUACAAAAAUAAUAUAAAUCUAUACUAGUGGUUCCGCCGCCGGCUGAGCGACGGUGUUACACGGGCUUCAGACCCUUUUGCGUCUUUUUUGUUUCUGCCGACUAGAGCGGCCGCCGGUUUUCUCGACAGUGACCCUACCGCCGUCCAAUUCCCUUUGCGUCUCAAUAACAUUCUCUUCUGUCGGUUAUCUAUACCAAUUUCUCCGUUUUGUUCCUGUUCGAAUCCCGACAACGAAGACCAAGAGGAGUGAUCUGCUCCUCGUGUAAACGCUUCGAGGUUAGCGGAGAGGUGUUUUGGGAUUGAAUUUCAUUAUACGAUGGAUUUACAAAUGAAGGACGAAAAGAGCUUGGAAGAAGAAGAAGAUGAUUUUGUUGAAUAUGUUCCUGUGGCAAAGCGUAGAGCCAUGGAAGCUCAAAAGAUUCUUAUGCGCAAAGGCAAGGCUUCUGCCCUUGAAGAAGAGUUGGAGAAAUCAAGGCUUGCCGAAGCCAAGCCGAGUCUCCUCGUAAAAGCAUCUCAGAUGAAGCGUGACCAACCAGAAGUUAGUCCGACCGAGCAGAUCGUUCAGCAAGAGAAGGAGAUGAUCGAGCACUUAUCUGAUCGUAAAACUCUAAUGUCGGUUCGUGAACUAGCCAAAGGAAUUACUUACACAGAGCCAUUGUUAACUGGAUGGAAACCACCAUUGCCUAUCAGGAGGAUGUCAAGAAAGGCAUGUGAUUUGAUUCGCAAACAAUGGCACAUAAUAGUCGAUGGUGACGAUAUUCCACCGCCUAUUAAGAACUUCAAGGACAUGAGACUCCCUGAACCAGUUUUGAAGAAGUUGAAAGAAAAGGGAAUCGUGCAGCCGACUCCGAUUCAGGUCCAAGGUCUGCCUGUGAUUUUAUCUGGCAGAGAUAUGAUUGGGAUUGCGUUUACUGGUUCGGGAAAGACCCUAGUUUUCGUUCUUCCUUUGAUAAUGAUUGCGUUACAAGAAGAGGUCAUGAUGCCCAUUGUUUCAGGGGAAGGACCUUUUGGUUUGAUCAUUUGUCCUUCAAGGGAGCUUGCUAGACAGACCUAUGAAGUGGUGGAACAGUUCUUAAUACCCAUGAAGGAGGCUGGAUAUCCAGAACUUAGGCCUUUGCUCUGUAUAGGCGGGGUGGAUAUGCGAUCACAGAUCGAGGUUGUGAAGAAGGGUGUUCAUAUCGUUGUUGCAACCCCCGGCAGGUUGAAGGAUAUGUUGGCGAAAAAGAAAAUGAACCUUGACAAUUGCAGGUAUCUUACUUUAGAUGAGGCUGAUAGAUUAGUGGAUCUAGGAUUCGAAGACGAUAUUCGGGAAGUUUUUGAUCAUUUCAAGGCUCAACGCCAAACUCUAUUGUUUUCUGCUACAAUGCCUACCAAAAUUCAAAACUUUGCAAGAAGUGCACUAGUAAAGCCUGUCACUGUUAACGUCGGAAGAGCUGGAGCUGCAAACCUCGACGUCAUCCAGGAGGUCGAGUACGUGAAACAAGAGGCAAAAAUUGUUUACUUGCUCGAGUGUCUGCAGAAAACUCCACCUCCGGUGUUGAUAUUUUGUGAGAAUAAAGCCGAUGUUGACGACAUUCACGAGUAUCUACUCUUGAAAGGUGUUGAAGCAGUGGCAAUACAUGGAGGAAAAGAUCAGGAAGAAAGAGAGUAUGCUAUCUCUUCAUUUAAGGCGAGCAAGAAAGAUGUAUUGGUUGCUACUGAUGUUGCAUCAAAGGGUUUAGAUUUUCCAGACAUUCAACAUGUUAUCAACUACGAUAUGCCAGCUGAAAUUGAGAACUACGUUCAUAGGAUUGGACGAACUGGACGGUGUGGUAAGACGGGAAUUGCAACAACUUUCAUAAACAAGAAUCAAAGCGAAACAACCCUCCUUGAUUUAAAGCACCUUCUGCAAGAAGCAAAACAGAGGAUUCCACCAGUGUUGGCUGAGCUGAAUGACCCUAUGGAGGACGUGGAAGCGAUCACCAAUGCAAGCGGGGUCAAAGGUUGCGCUUAUUGUGGCGGGCUUGGUCACCGUAUCCGUGACUGCCCCAAGUUAGAGCAUCAGAAAAGCAUGGCGAUUGCAAGUUCAAGAAGAGACUAUUUUGGAUCAGGCGGCUAUAGAGGAGAAAUUUGAGAAAGCUGAGAACAGAGGAAGGGACAAUGACACAUGAUCGAGAAUCGGUGUCGAUUAACCUUACUAUGGAUAUCACUGAUUGACAGUCUUUACAAAUGAUGACAAAAGAGAAGGGCCUGCUGAAAAAAGAGAGUAUAAAAUCUUGUCUUCCAUCAGAACUUUCUGCAACAGAGAUGAACUGAAGCAGAUAUGUGCAUUCAGGUUUUUAAGACACGUCUUUCAAAGUGAUGCAGCAAAACCAGUACUCAUCCAGAUACUGUCCUCCUUGGGUUUUCCAUUUCUGGACUUCCCUUCAAGGUUUUUGGGUUUUCCCUUCUGGGUUUUCCCGUCUACUAGAAUAACGAUGAAUUGGAGAAGCAACACAGAUGCGAAAUAUCGAACAAGCAACACAGAUGCGAAAUAUCGAACGAAAGGAAAGAAGACGCCAUGCCUCUCUCUGCUCGUCGGAGAUGAAUGAAUUAGACGAAUCCCCAAGCACUUCAAUGAUGUCGUUGAAAGACACCUUCCCGUUGCAGUCAACAUCAUAUAGCUUGAAAAUAACUGAAAUAAGGAGACACUAGCAAUUAUUAAUACGAAAUGAACCAUCUCAAAGUAGUUUUCUUAGAGUCAAUAUCAUGUAUUAAUGUCAGUUCAGGACAAAAAGUUUUUCCAUUUAGUCCUGAACUUAUAAUUCAUGAUAUCUUUUGGUUUAGUGAUGAUUCAUGCCA